rnacentral:rRNA from 1 species
ACAUAGGGUGCAAGCGUUGUCCGGAUUUAUUGGGCGUAAAGAGUUCGUAGGCGGUUUAUCGCGUCGGGUGUGAAAACUCAGGGCUUAACCCUGAGCCUGCACUCGAUACGGGUUUACUUGAGGACGGCAGGGGAGACUGGAACUCCUGGUGUAGCGGUGGAAUGCGCAGAUAUCAGGAAGAACACCAAUGGCGAAGGCAGGUCUCUGGGCCGAUUCUGACGCUGAGGAACGAAAGCGUGGGGAGCAAACAGG